ensembl:lncRNA
UGGCAGAUGUUAUAAUAGACAACAUUCAAAAGGAGACCAUUCAUAAGUUGUAUCAAUCUAUUCUAAGAAGGUUGGAGGCUGUAUUAAAGUCAAACAGUGGCAGAGCACUUUAAUUAAGAAAUACUGCCUGUUUCCCAGGUGUUCAGGAUAUUUUGUCCAACCUCUGUAUGUAGGCAAUCACAAUCUUGAUUUGUAUAUUUUAUUGUUGGCAGUUUAUCGAGCUGAUAUCUUUUAUAAUUUGUCUGCAAUGAGCAACAUGCUACAAGUUUACUACUUUACAAGACAUUGUGCCCAGGGGCCUCUGAAUUGUUAAUCCGGGCACUGUUAGUAAGGGUUAUUUUACCUAAUACAGAUUUCUAUGCGUUUGCGUGCCAGUGUGUUUGCGGCCAAUCAGAGUGAGAGCGCAGUCCCCGCCUCCCGGACUGAGGCCAUCUUACACUGAGCUCUGCUGUGGGGCGUCACACAUAUACACUGUAUCAGUUUCAGCGCUUGUGUGACGCUGCUGGUGUAACAGAGUUGUAAAUGAAGCAGGCAGAGGAGAAAGUGGCCGUUUCUGUCGACUUGUACUGAAGCAUGGAUUAUGAGAGGAGGGGCGGUCGUGGUGACCGCAUGGGUCGCUAUAGGAAAGAGUCUGAUGAUCACGACUACAGGGACAUGGACUAUCGUGGAUAUGGGCAAGGAAAUAGACUGAAAAGUGGCUUAACAAAUGCAAGACAGAACGAGCCUGAUGGUAGUUUUGCAGGCAUGAGAGACUUUUCCUCAGGUAAUUUCUCAAAUAACCGACCCGGAUUCAGACAAAAGGGGAACCAUGGGUCCGAAAACAGCCAACUUGGAAAAAGUCUCCUCCAAAGUCCCCCACAUGAUAAUCUCCACUCAAGAUUCCAGCAAGAUGAUAAUGAUUAUGAGUUUGAACCAGAGAUUGAUGCACACAGAAGGGGUAUGCAGACAUUUAGAUCAAGACAGAAGGUGUACCUGGCUGAACAAACCCCAGAUGAAGGUGAAAAAAAUGAGGAAAACACCUGGGGCAGAGUUAGAGGGCGGCACAACUCUCAGGGCGAAUAUAGUGCAGAAUGGAGAGCUGAGGAGGACAAACAUAUCAGGCAUUCUGCACACAGACAAGGCUUUCCUGACCAAGCCCAACCAGCUAGGGACAAAUUAAGAGAAGGAAGUUUUCAUCAUGCUCUGGAUAUGAGCCAGGAGGAGCCAGAACCCCGUGACCAGGACUACAGGUCUGAUACAGAGCAGGCCCAGAAACCCAGCAACAUUGUCAUGCUGAGAAUGCUCCCACCAAAUGCAACUGUUAAUGAGAUUCGUGCUCGACUGCAGGAGCAGGGGAUCCAGGCCAGAGAGGUUCGCCUCAUGAGGAACAAGUCUUCAGGUAAUCAUGCUCUACCAGGGGGCUUCUCUGUACCCCAGACUGACCUCCAAGUCUCUCUUCCUCUGCCUUUCAUAACAAGCCUUAGCUCACUCUUGCGUCUGCCUAGUUCAGUGUGUUAUUUCAAUACAGCCUCUUUUCGUUCUCACUUUCCUACUGGUGUAUUUGAGUUGAGUAAAGAUGCUGUUCAGUACUGGUGCUUUGAACUCUUCUGGCGUAUGUUUCUUUAACUCCCCGCACAUCUUUUUGUUUAAGCCAUCACUGAUUAUUACCUGUUCUCUGUUGUGUGUUACUAUUUUCUUACCAUACCCCUUGUCAGACUGUUCUUAACCAGACAACAUACACACUCAUAAUACAUCCACAAGCAUGGGAAUAACAGAAACAUGUACACUGGCACACAAGCACAAACAUAACUACUCCCAAGUGCCAAGCUUUUUUCGCGUGUCCUGCCAUCCUUAUCCCUCAUCUCCCUUUGAUUGCUCUUGUCCUGAAGUCUGGGGAAGAUCUUGCACCUUAUGUUGUGUAAGUAUUUUGCAAUAGCUGUGUUGAGAUAAGUAUGGCUGACCAUUACAUGAGCAAUGUUUGGCUCUUUUUUUUUUUUUUCAUGGGUAUGAAAAGGUUUUGGUAUUUUGUGUCCUCAGCUAAAAGGGUGGACAAAAUAAUGUAAACACCAUUUUAAAAGUUUUUAGUUUCUUUCAGGUCAUUUAAUUACACAGCUACAAAGGUCACUUAUGAGUCAGUGUAGGUUAAUAAGUCUUAAGAGUACAGAUGCUUUGAGGAGUCAUCUUUGGUCUAUGUUCUAAUGGAUUUAUAUUUGAAGAAGCCAAAGAAUGCCGUUUAAUCAGUGUUUUAGGAAACUCUUAAAUAUUGUUUCUAAUCCAUUAAGGAAUAGCUAAAUCAUGGGAAUCAUUAUGUUGGAUGACUGUAAUACAUAGUUUCAUGAGAUCGCCUGCCCAUCCAGUCCUAAUGGUUAAUGGUAAAUGAACUUGGAAUGCUGUCCUCGAUGGAGGCUUGAACCCGAGGCUUGGCUUGAGAUCUGAGUUCAACCCCAGCCACUGCGGUGCUACAUAGAGGGAGAAUAGCAGAAAUAGAGGAGGCGAUGGGUAGGUGAAGGGAUGCCGGAAGAAUUGUUGCUGGGAUGACACAAUGCCUGCUGCUUAUAUAGGCUCAAAAUAAUGAUUAACAGCACUGAAUGAAUAGGCUCCUCCCCGAAGCUACGUUUGGAACUUCAUUUAGAAGGACUGUAAAGCAAUUAAAAAUUUGAAUCUACAUUAUAUGCCACCAAUUAAUCACACAUCAAUUUGGGCUGAGAAAUUACCACCUAAAAGAUCAUUUAAAUUCAAUUUUUGUGUUAAAUGAGAAAAGAUCUGACUAGACAUCAAAAUGUAGCUUUAACAGAAUUUGUUACACCUAAACCUUUAAUGCUAUAGUGUGGCCAUAACAUUGUUUUCAGAAGCUGCAUCUGAAGUGCAAGCAUUAACAUAUAUAUCAGCUUUCAACUUUCACAUUUCAAAUAUCACAUUGGCCAUCAAGGACAUAUUUGAGAAAAAAGCAGCACUGGUGUGAUAUUGCUAAACUACAGUGGCAUGCGAAAGUUGGGGAACCCCUUGCAGAAUAUGUGAAUAAUUUUAACAAAAUAAGAGAUCAUGCAAAAUGCAUGUUAUUUUUUUAUUUAGUACUGUCCUGAGUAAGAUGUUUUACAUAAAAGAUGUUUACAUUUAGUCCACAAGAAAAAAAAUAGCUGAAAUUAUCUCUUUCCCCACCAGCAUAUUUGCAAAAAGUUGCCAGCCACCACCAGUGAUUUUGAUGAUUUUCACUAAAAUUUGAUGGCCUCCGGUAUAUUUUGCUGUAUGAAUAUUUGAAUGCAAUACACCAAAAUAAAGAUCAGAGCCUCUACUUUUAAACUAAAACA